AGAUUAUGCCAUUGCACUCCAGCCUAGGCUGCAGAGUGAGAUCCUGUCUUAAAAAAAAAGAAAAAGAAAAUCAAAACAGCAGUGGCUUAAAAUGGGAGUUUUAGUUUCUUUUACAAAAGGGAGCAGAUCAAGCCUCUUGUGUUAACUUCCUGGGGUCAACAGACCACAAACCUUCUUCUGUUUGUAUCGUCAUCCUUAGCUAUGGCUUUCAUUUUCUAAGAUACUUCAUGAUAUAAGGUAACUGCUGGAGUUCCGGUCGUAUCAUCCAAGUUUUAAGCCAGAAGGAGGAAGAAGGGGAGAGGAAAAGAAAAGGCACAAGCCAGCUAGUUGUCCAUCCUAUUUUUAUGCAGGGACUAAUUUGUUUACAUUGCUCAUCACUAGCCAGUCAUGUGCUAAAGCCAGCUCACCCUAGGUUAUGAAAGCCAAUUGUUACAUUUGCUGAAGUUUUUGCAAGCCAUUGACUUGAGUUUGGUGGCUUGAAAUUGGCCAUAGCAAAAGAAUUUACACAACAGAAACUGGUAUAAGAGAGAGCUAUUUGUUAACCAUUUAUGAGAUAUAGCUGUUCCUGGCUGGGACAGGGGAGGGAAAGUAGUGUUUAACCUGGUGCAUUGCCAUACAGAAUAAAACCACAGUCCUUUUACUAAUGAAGAAGAGAAAGUGAUAAUGAAUAAGAAAACACUCUGCUACAUUCUCCCCACUUUGUAUCCAUAGACUGGAUCUGCUUCCCUUGGUUAGGUUGCUAACUCUUAUCUUCUUUUCAAAUUAUGCAACAGUCAACAUACUUUUGUAUUUGUGUUUCUGCACAUGAACUGGCGUUUGUGGACAAUAGCUUCUUUGAGGUAGAUUUGUAAGUCAAAGAGUAUGUGCCCUCUGCUUAACUCUUUAUAAAGAACACUCACCAGGUGUCUGGUCUGUUUCCUCCUAAUGUAGUUUAGGGGUGAUGAGCAUGGAUUUUGGAAUCAGACACCCAGGGUGUGAACACUCAUUCAGACACUUCUAACUGUGUGACUUUGGCCAACUUACUUAACCUCUCUGUGUGCCAUUGGGCAAAUUAACAGUUUCCUCACUUGUGAGACAGGUUAGUAAUGCUACCUAUGGCAUACUAUUGCAUUGCAUAUUGCAUUCAUAUGAGGAUGAACUGAGUUGACCCUGCAGAGUCCUUAGAGCAGUGACUGGCACUUAGCAAGUUACCCAGAAGUAUUGUCUAUUAAUACUUGCAUUGAUUGUGAAACAUCACUGAGCGUUGCUAAGAGGCUGUCUUUUCAGGAGCAAGGAGUCCAAGUGCCCAUUUCCUGUACGUUUGGCUCAGACGCCCACCCCUUACCCCUGCACACAGCCUGUUUUCUGUCUCAGUGGGACACAUCUCUUUCCCUUGCAGCACAAUCACUCUUUCCUUCCCGCUCCGGUUCUGGUCUGCCAUCUGCUGACCCAUUCGGCGCUCCUGUCAAGUCAAAGAUAGCGAGGCCUUUGUGGAGUGCCCAGGCAGCGUGUCAUGUCCCAGUGCUGUUGUACAUCUUGUUUCAGAGAUAUUUUGCCGUAAUGUUCUGUGACCUUUUCCAUUGAGUGAGGUAGUUGGAGAGGCACUCAGUAAGGGAAAAUUGAGCUGUUUUAUUCCUCCCCAAGGAGGCUCCUGUUUCCUUUCUACCAUUCAUUUGAAAGCUAUCAUUUUCUUGAUUUUAUAGCUGAAAAACACCAUUGAUUCACUGGGUGUUAGAUGCUAGGAGUUCUCCUAUUGACAUGGGUAUUGACAGUUUUCAGUAUAUUCUGCGUCUAAUUAUCACUCUUGGCUAAAUGAUACACCUUGUGGACUUGAGCGAUGGAGUCAAUAGCUCUCACCACAUUGUUCUACUGCUGCCUAUUGAGACUGGUGUCACGGCGAUGUGAUUUAUGCGAUCAGAAAGAAAAUUUCUGUUGGUGUGCUGCAUAAUUAAAGCAAGCGCAGAGUGACUGGUGACAAAAAAUCAGGACUGCCGAUGUCAUCCCCAAAUGAGGAGAGAUUUCUGGAGUAAGCAGCUGCGACAGUGAAGAAUCUCUCUUGGCAUCUUCCGCUUUGCAAUUUUCAAGGGUUCGAUUUUCCUCCCAGUCCUGGCUGAGAGCUCGUCUUCUCUCCUUUCCUGCUGCAUCCUGGUCAGAGCGUCAGUACCUGUGUGCUACCAUUCCAGGGCCUGAGCCCUGGGGCUCGCUCUGGGUAGGGGGGCUCACUGUUGCAGACAGGGGCUGUUCGUAGAAUUUGGGCUGUCAGCAGCCCACAUUUGCUGGUAGGGAGGAUCGAUGGCCUCUAAAAUGGCUUGUCCUUUGUAUCAGCCUGUUUGAGUUUCUGAGGUUGAGAUUAAAUGUUGGGAAGGCCAUUUUCCCUGUGCAUGAGAAGGGUGGUCCCUGCAUUUACAUGGCAGAUUCUGAGAGGAGCUGAUGGUGGUAAUGCUGCUCAGCCUCAGGCAGGACUGGUGAGGAAGUGCAGGUGGCUGACAGGUGGCAAAGGCUGGGUGUAUCCUAAGCAAACAACUCUGGUGUGAGACAGUGUACCCCGCAAACCUGCCUUCUACCCCAACGACUCCUUUACUGGUGCUCUUCCCAGAGGCUCCUCAGAAGAUCCACACAGUCAAGGACCUUGCCUUCUGCAGCGCUUGCGUGGUGAUGAUUUUCUGCGAGGCCAGAGUCAACUGAUCUAGUCCAUAGACUUGUGUGUUCUCACGUGUGAAGUGAACAGGGUUCCUUUUAGCUCUAAAGUACUGCGAAUUAGUGAGCUGGGGCUUGGAGUAGGGGUUGGGGAAUGUAAAGGUAUUAAUCUGAGAGGUCCCUGAAGGAAUUUGAAGGCCAGACCACCAUUGCCUGAGAGGAGUGCUUCAUGUGUGCUGCUGGUCUAAGAUGUGGAGACUCUGGCUUCAUAGGCACUGAAGGAACCUUGGAGGUUAGAAUAUGUUAGUGAGAUAUUUAAUGAGAGGUAUGAACAGAAGAUCUGAAUCAAGCUAAUGGAGUAGACAUUUCCAGGCACCUGAGUUGGGCAAUGAAUUUGGCUUGGUGGCCAGCGAAAGUCAUGAGUAGAAUGGGAUUUGGGUGUUGGUGGAUGAUGGGACCAUGGAAAGGGGUCAGGAUUCUGAGGUUUUGGGCAGCUGAGAUUGUGACAGGAGGGACUUUUGAGGUCACUGUCUCUAGAUGGGUUACCUUCCUGGAAGUGGGAUGCCUUGUGUGGCCUCUAUGACCAUCAAUUUCUACUUAAUGAACCUCUGUAUGUGGCUCUUCUGCAGUUCCACUUUUCCCCAUGCACAAAGCCAGAGAGAUUUUAUGACUUGUGUUCCUAUUUUCAUCACUGGAAUUUUUUAAUAUAAAAGUUUUGAGACUACUCUGUUAUUGUAUUUUUGAGGACAACCUGGUAUUUUAUAAUUAGGGGUUGUGUUAGGCCAUUCUUGCCUUGCUCUAAAGAAAUACCAGAGACUGGGUAACUUAUAAGAAAAGAGGUUUAAUUGGCUCAUGGUUCUGCAGGCUGGACAAGCAUGGCAUCUGACAUCUCCUUGGCUUCAAUGGAGGCCUCAGGGAGCUUUUACUUAUGGCAGGAGGCCAAGUGGGAGCAAGCAUGUCCCAUGGCAAAAGCAGGAGAGAGAGAGAGAGAGAGACAGAGAGAGAGAGAGAGAGAGAGAGAGGGAGAGGUGGAGGGGGUGCCACACACUUAAACCACCAGAUCUCACGAGGACUCUCACUUUUGCGAGGACAGGACUAAGCUAUGAGGGAUCCAUGCCUAUGACCCAAACACCUCCCACCAGGCCCCACCUCCAACAUUGGGGAUUAUAAUUCAACAUGGGAUUUGGGUGGGGACAAAUAUCCAAAUGAUUUCAAGGGUCCAUAGUGCUUUGUCUUUGACAUUGAGUAAACCAUGGAAUGCCUCAGGGUUCUUGAAAAUUCAAAUCUCAUGUACUUUGUUUUAAUUGUUCAUGUUUAUUUAUCUGGACUAGUUCUGACAUUGUCCAUGGCUCUGGGUAAGGAGAGAUGUUCUGUAACUGGGAAGGAACUUUGAGCAUUCUGAUAGGAUUAAUUAUUUUCAUCCAAUGUGUAAUCAUCACUAAACACAUCUCUGUGAAGACUCCUCAGUACAUGAAACUAUUGUUAAUGCAACAUAGUACCACCAGAAGAUUCUGGGUGACCGAUUGGGGUAAAGUUGAUCAUCUGUUAAGAUUCUUUUUUUUCCCCAUUCUUGACAAGUGGUUCAACUUAGAAACCCUGAGUACCCCUUACAAAUUGCAGGCUACCUUGAUCACCUGUGAUUAGAGGACAUGGUUGGUUUGUUGUGUGCUAGGCCUCCAUGUCUUACCCACAGUUGAUUUAUUUUAAACACUGGAAAUUGCAAAAAAAAAAAAACCCAAAAAACAAAAAACAAAAAAACCCAC